rnacentral:lncRNA from 1 species
UCCGAUUGAUACGAGUCCUUCCAUAAGAAAAAAAUACUUGAAAACGGAAUUGGACCCCCCCCCCUUUGAUUUGAAUCACUCGUAGUCUUGGUACCCAAAUGUAGCAAUCUCUGUAAUCAAAUAUCAAAUGGUUAGUUUGCUUUCGGUUGAUGUUUAUAUAUAUUUAUUUAUGCUGCUAUUAUAUAUUUAUAUAUAUAUCCUGAGAUUAUAUUAUAUAACUAUCCAUAAUAUAUAUAUAUAUAUAUAAUUAUAUAUACAUGCUGCUAUAAUAUAAUUAUAUAUACUGUUUAUGCCUAUUAUUAUCCACCACUUCAUUAAUUUUCAAAUAAAACUCAUACAAGCUCACCAAAGUAUCUUUUACCUUAUUUGUUAGCAAUUGUGCUUUGUCAUAAUCAUACAAAUCACUAAAGCAAAAUUUCACAUAUUUCAACUUCAAACGUGGAUCUAAGACAUUAGCCACAUAUAACAAAAAAUUCUGAUUUACUUCACAACCCCAAUACUUCUCAAAUUUAAACAUCAUAUUCAUCGCCAUUCCACUUAAAAUACUAUCUUUACUUUUACACAAUUGCAACAAGUUCGUAUGCAUGUAAAUCAAUUCAUUAAAGAAAGAAUUUGAUGUGACAUGCAAUGAGCCAGAAAAUCUCAAUGUAACCAUAUAAAAGAUCUUUAAGAACUUAACCAAAGUUCUUGCAUUUUCCCAAUCCUCCAAACGAGGUGGCCCCAUGUUUUUUUUAUUCUCCUUUGAAUCAACCUCUAAAAAGUAACUCAUAUACCUAGGUUCUUUUUCACCUAACCUCAUAAAUACCUUUUCAAACUUUUCAGCAGCUUCUAGCAUAAGAUAAGUUGAAUUCCAUCGAGUUGCAACAUCUAAACACAAUGAUUUCUUACACUCUAUAUGCAACUUUUCAGCCCACUUCUUAAAUGUAAGAUGCCUUGAAGGUGAAGAUCUCAAAAACCUAAUGGCAUUUCGAAUCUUAACAACUGAAACAUUAAUCUCUUUCAAGUCAUCACACACAAUGAGGUUUACAAUGUGUGCACAACAUCUAAAAUGCAAGUGCUCAUUUGACAAUAUAUUAGUUGGCCAAUCUUUCAUCACAUUCUUUAAAUAUAAAAUGGUCACAUUAUUAGAGCUUGCAUUGUCUAAUGUAAUGGUUAACAGUUUAUCAAUCCCCCACUCCAACAAACAAUUCUCAAUAACUUGGCCAAUUGUCUCACCCAUAUGAUUGGAAACUUGACAAAAAUUAAGAAUUCUUUUAUGUAAAUUCCAGUCAUUAUCAAUCCAAUGAGCUGUUAAACACAUAUAGUUAAUAUUUUGGAUUGAUGUCCAUGUAUCUGUUGUCAAGCACAAUCGUUGACCCUUAAGAGCUAUCCUCAAUCUAUCCUUCUCUUCAACAUAAAGUUUCAAACAAUCUCUCAUAAUUGUAAAACGAGAAGGAAUGUCAAAUCUAGGUUGCAUGGUCCUAGCAAACAAUUUAAAUCCCCGACCCUCCACAAAAUUAAAAGGCAACUCAUCAAUUAUAACCAUCUUUGUUAGUACUUGUCUACACUCAUCAUAAUUAUAACCUAUUGCCUUAAGACUUCCCACAUUUUGUUCUCCCAAUUCACCCUUCUCUAUCUUAGGUUCUAAUACCAAAACCUUUUGUUUCUUAUCAACCACAAAAGGGAACUUCUUGCACACUUUUAAAUGACUCCACAUGUUACUUGUGCCAUUAAUAAUAGUAUGAGAUGCAUAAUGUUUUCCACAAUAAUUACAUUCAGCUCUAGGGGCUUUAGGAUCAACAUCAAGUUUUGUAAAGUGAUCCCAAAUUUGUGACUUUUUUUUAUCAUCAGCAUUUCUUUUCCUAGAUGCAAGAACUUGAGGUUGUUUACCUUUUGUAUCUAUGGAUCCUGCAUUGGUUGAUUCUGUGUUAGGUUUUGAAGUUGGAGACAUGGUAGAUGUUGGUGUAGUGCCCGUGGAUGAAGCAUUUUGAAUUUGAGUAGUUUCCAUCUGUUAUUACAUAAUAAAAACAUGUUACACGCAUUACAGCAUAAUACAAUUUUAGCAUAUAUAUAUAUAUAUAAUUAUAUAAUAGCAGCAUAUACAUAUAUUAUAUAUACAAACCCAGCAUAUAUAUAUAUAAUUAUAUAAUAGCAACACAGCAUAUAUAUAUAUAUAUAUAUAUAUAUAUAUAUAUAUAUAUAAUUACAAACUCAACAUAUAUUAUAUAUACAAACCCAGCAUAUAUAUAUAUAUAAUUACAAACCCAGCAUAUAUUAUAUAUACAAACCCAGCAUAUAUAUAUAUAUAUAAUUACAAACUCAGCAUAUAUUAUAUAUACAAACCCAGCAUAUAUAUAUAUAAUUAUAUAAUAGCAGCACAACAUAUAUAUAUAUAUAUAUAUAUAUAAACUUAAUAUAUAUAAACUCAGCAUGUAUACAGUAUAUAUAAUUAUAUAUAUAUAUAUAAAUAUAUAAUAGCAGCAUAAAUAUAUAUAUAUAUAUAUAUAUAUAUAUAUAUAAACAUCAACCGAAAGCAAACUAACCAUUUGAUAUUUGAUUACAGAGAUUGCUACAUUUGGGUACCAAAACUACGAGUGAUUCAAAUCAAAGGGGGGGGUCCAAUUCCGUUUUCAAGUAUUUUUUUUUUAUGGAAGGACUCGUAUCAAUCGGAGAACAUAUUAAAAUAAGAACAAAAGUAUAUAAAAAAAAAAUUCUACUCAACCUUUUACUGUGUAGCUGGAGAUGGAUGGAGAUGGAGAAUUGAAAAUGGUGGGGGCUGAUC